rnacentral:rRNA from 1 species
GGGUUGUGAGGUUAAGCGACUAAGCGUACACGGUGGAUGCCCUGGCAGUCAGAGGCGAUGAAGGACGUGCUAAUCUGCGAUAAGCGUCGGUAAGGUGAUAUGAACCGUUAUAACCGGCGAUUUCCGAAUGGGGAAACCCAGUGUGAUUCGUCACACUAUCAUUAACUGAAUCCAUAGGUUAAUGAGGCGAACCGGGGGAACUGAAACAUCUAAGUACCCCGAGGAAAAGAAAUCAACCGAGAUUCCCCCAGUAGCGGCGAGCGAACGGGGAGCAGCCCAGAGCCUGAAUCAGUGUGUGUGUUAGUGGAAGCGUCUGGAAAGGCGCGCGAUACAGGGUGACAGCCCCGUACACAAAAAUGCACAUGCUGUGAGCUCGAUGAGUAGGGCGGGACACGUGGUAUCCUGUCUGAAUAUGGGGGGACCAUCCUCCAAGGCUAAAUACUCCUGACUGACCGAUAGUGAACCAGUACCGUGAGGGAAAGGCGAAAAGAACCCCGGCGAGGGGAGUGAAAAAGAACCUGAAACCGUGUACGUACAAGCAGUGGGAGCACAGAGCAAUCUGUGUGACUGCGUACCUUUUGUAUAAUGGGUCAGCGACUUAUAUUCUGUAGCAAGGUUAACCGAAUAGGGGAGCCGAAGGGAAACCGAGUCUUAACUGGGCGUUAAGUUGCAGGGUAUAGACCCGAAACCCGGUGAUCUAGCCAUGGGCAGGUUGAAGGUUGGGUAACACUAACUGGAGGACCGAACCGACUAAUGUUGAAAAAUUAGCGGAUGACUUGUGGCUGGGGGUGAAAGGCCAAUCAAACCGGGAGAUAGCUGGUUCUCCCCGAAAGCUAUUUAGGUAGCGCCUCGUGAAUUCAUCUCCGGGGGUAGAGCACUGUUUCGGCAAGGGGGUCAUCCCGACUUACCAACCCGAUGCAAACUGCGAAUACCGGAGAAUGUUAUCACGGGAGACACACGGCGGGUGCUAACGUCCGUCGUGAAGAGGGAAACAACCCAGACCGCCAGCUAAGGUCCCAAAGUCAUGGUUAAGUGGGAAACGAUGUGGGAAGGCCCAGACAGCCAGGAUGUUGGCUUAGAAGCAGCCAUCAUUUAAAGAAAGCGUAAUAGCUCACUGGUCGAGUCGGCCUGCGCGGAAGAUGUAACGGGGCUAAACCAUGCACCGAAGCUGCGGCAGCGACACUAUGUGUUGUUGGGUAGGGGAGCGUUCUGUAAGCCUGUGAAGGUGUGCUGUGAGGCAUGCUGGAGGUAUCAGAAGUGCGAAUGCUGACAUAAGUAACGAUAAAGCGGGUGAAAAGCCCGCUCGCCGGAAGACCAAGGGUUCCUGUCCAACGUUAAUCGGGGCAGGGUGAGUCGACCCCUAAGGCGAGGCCGAAAGGCGUAGUCGAUGGGAAACAGGUUAAUAUUCCUGUACUUGGUGUUACUGCGAAGGGGGGACGGAGAAGGCUAUGUUGGCCGGGCGACGGUUGUCCCGGUUUAAGCGUGUAGGCUGGUUUUCCAGGCAAAUCCGGAAAAUCAAGGCUGAGGCGUGAUGACGAGGCACUACGGUGCUGAAGCAACAAAUGCCCUGCUUCCAGGAAAAGCCUCUAAGCAUCAGGUAACAUCAAAUCGUACCCCAAACCGACACAGGUGGUCAGGUAGAGAAUACCAAGGCGCUUGAGAGAACUCGGGUGAAGGAACUAGGCAAAAUGGUGCCGUAACUUCGGGAGAAGGCACGCUGAUAUGUAGGUGAAGUCCCUCGCGGAUGGAGCUGAAAUCAGUCGAAGAUACCAGCUGGCUGCAACUGUUUAUUAAAAACACAGCACUGUGCAAACACGAAAGUGGACGUAUACGGUGUGACGCCUGCCCGGUGCCGGAAGGUUAAUUGAUGGGGUUAGCGCAAGCGAAGCUCUUGAUCGAAGCCCCGGUAAACGGCGGCCGUAACUAUAACGGUCCUAAGGUAGCGAAAUUCCUUGUCGGGUAAGUUCCGACCUGCACGAAUGGCGUAAUGAUGGCCAGGCUGUCUCCACCCGAGACUCAGUGAAAUUGAACUCGCUGUGAAGAUGCAGUGUACCCGCGGCAAGACGGAAAGACCCCGUGAACCUUUACUAUAGCUUGACACUGAACAUUGAGCCUUGAUGUGUAGGAUAGGUGGGAGGCUUUGAAGUGUGGACGCCAGUCUGCAUGGAGCCGACCUUGAAAUACCACCCUUUAAUGUUUGAUGUUCUAACGUGGACCCGUGAUCCGGGUUGCGGACAGUGUCUGGUGGGUAGUUUGACUGGGGCGGUCUCCUCCUAAAGAGUAACGGAGGAGCACGAAGGUUGGCUAAUCCUGGUCGGACAUCAGGAGGUUAGUGCAAUGGCAUAAGCCAGCUUGACUGCGAGCGUGACGGCGCGAGCAGGUGCGAAAGCAGGUCAUAGUGAUCCGGUGGUUCUGAAUGGAAGGGCCAUCGCUCAACGGAUAAAAGGUACUCCGGGGAUAACAGGCUGAUACCGCCCAAGAGUUCAUAUCGACGGCGGUGUUUGGCACCUCGAUGUCGGCUCAUCACAUCCUGGGGCUGAAGUAGGUCCCAAGGGUAUGGCUGUUCGCCAUUUAAAGUGGUACGCGAGCUGGGUUUAGAACGUCGUGAGACAGUUCGGUCCCUAUCUGCCGUGGGCGCUGGAGAACUGAGGGGGGCUGCUCCUAGUACGAGAGGACCGGAGUGGACGCAUCACUGGUGUUCGGGUUGUCAUGCCAAUGGCACUGCCCGGUAGCUAAAUGCGGAAGAGAUAAGUGCUGAAAGCAUCUAAGCACGAAACUUGCCCCGAGAUGAGUUCUCCCUGACUCCUUGAGAGUCCUGAAGGAACGUUGAAGACGACGACGUUGAUAGGCCGGGUGUGUAAGCGCAGCGAUGCGUUGAGCUAACCGGUACUAAUGAACCGUGAGGCUUAACCUUACAACGCCGAAGGUGUUU